rnacentral:rRNA from 1 species
UCUUGUGCAAUAAACGAAAGUAUGACACAGAGAGGACACAUUUAAUUGAGCCCGUCAAAUUAAGUGCCAGCCGACGCGGUUAAACUUAAGGGCUGGUCUUUAUAAGUAAAAAGGCGUAAAGGAUGUGUAGGCCAAGAAACGAUCCAAGUAGGUAAAUGGAAUUUUUCUGGAGCGGUAGAAUGUGAGGAUAGAAAAUAGAACCCCUAAGGUAAAAACUAUUUACUACAAGGUAGGCUGAAACAUGAGAGUGUGGGGAGCAAACAGGAUUAGAGACCCUGGUAGUCCACACUGUGAACUUUGAAGAUGAUGCUUAGCAGACCCGAAAGGUAAAAUCUUCCGCCUGAGUAGUACGAUCGCAAGAUUAAAAUUCAAAAACUUUGGCUGUUCACUAUUUCGAUUAGAGGAGCGUGUAGUUUAAUUCGAUGGUCCGCGUGUUACCUUACCCCAACUUGAAUCUGUGACCGGUAUUGCAUGGCCGUCGUAAGUUCGUGUAUUAAGCUAGAAGGGACCCAACCCGGGCAUUUGCCCGGAGGAAGUCAGGUCUUAUGAUCCGAAUGUUGGGGGAUUUUAUGCGCUACAUUUUCUUAUAUAAUGAGAAACCUGGAAGGUGAGUCUCUAAAGUAAGAGUUCGGAAGGUCGCUGUAAGACGACUGGAAGUUGGAUUUAAUAGUAAUCGGAAAGUAGGGCGUUCCGGUGAAUUGGUACAAGUGUUAGCACAAAUUGCCCGUCACCUUUACUUAGAAGGUUAUUCGG